UGGGGGAUAUUGCACAAUGGGCGAAAGCCUGAUGCAGCGACGCCGCGUGGGGGAUGAAGGCCUUCGGGUUGUAAACUUCUUUUGCUCUGAACAAGGCGCACCAUGGGGUGUGUUGAGUGUAGGGGUUGAUUAGCGCCGGCUAACUACGUGCCAGCAGCCGCGGUAAUACGUAGGGCGCGAGCGUUGUCCGGAAUUAUUGGGCGUAAAGGGCUUGUAGGUGGCUGGUUGCGUCUGUCGUGAAAGCUCAUGGCUUAAAUGUGGGUUUGCGGUGGGUACGGGCUGGCUUGAGAGCAGUAGGGGAGGCUGGAAUUCCUGGUGUAGCGGUGGAAUGCGCAGAUAUCAGGAGGAAUACCGGUGGCGAAGGCGGGUCUCUGGGCUGUUACUGACACUGAGGAGCGAAAGCAUGGGGAGCGAACAGG
rnacentral:rRNA from 1 species